rnacentral:tRNA from 1 species
UCAGUGGUGGUUCAGUGGUAGAAUUCUCACCUUCCAUGUGGGAGACUCAGGUUCAAUUCCUGGUCAAUGCA